ensembl:lncRNA cruciferin CRU1-like
AGCCACUCAAACACAUGAAUCAAAUUCAUAGAGGUCAUUUAAGACAUAUUCAACAAAUACAGUGGAUACCAAAAAAAUAUUACUUUUUUUCAUUCAGCUUUAUUUUUCAUUCAGCUAUAAUUUCUUGUAGUCUACUGUUUUAAUGUGAGCACACAGACUUGUUUAUCCACUCUUGGGCGUGGAUGAGCAGGUAUCUGUGUCACCUGAGGGCGGAUCCAAAGUAUAAAUACAAGCACGAGAACAGCAUUUCCACACGGAGAGCAAGACGAGACAAGAGGUAAGACAUUCCUCAUUUAUUAGCUCCGACAGAUACCUGUCAAAUGCAUGAUUCAUGUGACCGUUUGAUGAAAAAUUACAGAUUGAAAAAGUUACUCUUUAGAAAAUGUAUUUGCAAGGAUUUUAUCUUAUGAAAUAUUAAAAUAAAUAUAAUUUGAACAUGCAUGCAGAAGAAAUCUUGCUUACGGGUCUUUUUCGUUGCUUAGUGUUUACAGACGUGUUACAUAUCUGAAAAUUUCAACAUGAGUGAUCGACGUAAGUAAUAUUUUAUAUAAAUAUACUGACAUUUUUCUGUUUGUGGCAUUUUAUUAAAAGUUUAAGAAAUUUUUACAGCUAUACACUUUCACAACUAUUUUACUUAAAUGCCAUUAGAGAACAACUCUUAAUGCUCGUUUUUGUUUUCCAAAUGUCUUCUGCAGCACAACAGCAGGUAAGAUAUUUACAAUUCCUCUCGAGUAUACCAAUUUUAUUGCAUUGCAAAUUUUAUUAGCAUUUUAAUUGUGCAUAUCUAUGCAUUCAUUCAUUAACUGUAAGUUUUAAAGAAUAAUACACUGAUCAUUCUGUAUAUUAACAGGGUUGCAGAGAUUCUGGCUCCGAGGUAUGAAGACAAUAACACACUCUUUACAUUUCUACACAAAUAGUUAAAGAACUUUUCCAUUGUAUGCUAAUCCUGUUGUCAUAUUUCCUGUCUCAUAGAGCUCAGGAGAUGAAUGUGGACAGAAGCACGGAAAGGGCCAAGGCAAAGGCAAAGGGAAAGGUCAGCAAGGUCAGCAAGGACAGCAAUGUCAGCAAGGUCAGCAAGGACAGCAAUGUCAGCAAGGACAGCAAGGACAGCAAGGACAAGGUCACGGACAUGGUCACGGUCAUGGAGGUGAUCAUGGGAAAAAGGGGCAUGGAUGUGAGCAGCAAAAAGGAAAAAAGUUUUAAGGUCAUGACCUGAGACCAUGGUGGUCCAUGCAUGUCCUCAUGCUUUACAUAUCAAAACUGGGUUUCAGCUCCAUAUUGCAUUCAAAUAAUGAAAAUAAACCGAUUUAUUAAAACCUUAAAUGAUGUGUGUCUGUCUUGAAUGGUUGAGUUUGAGUGUUUUAAUGGAUAUCACUUAGUUCUUGACUUAAAAUGAUCUCUAGACACAUAUGGGGAACUCAGCCAAUGGUACAAAACCCAAAUAUCGACAUUCAUAGUGAAACUGUGCUGUGCAAGAAACCAAAUGCCUGAGAUGCUGCAUUAGCCACCACUGCCAACACAUGUUAAAAGGUUGUCAACUGGGAUUCCAAACAUCAAAUUCUAAACGAUAUUACGAUUGAAUGUGAAACCAAUUUUUAGGAAUAACGGAUCCGCUGCCACUGCACAAAAACAAAUUACAUCAGGUUCUGCAAGCUUGGCACCCUAAAUAUUAAACUGAACUUAAGAUGCAUGCCAUCUUUCUAUAUUAAAUGUGCAAGACCUACAAAUAACCCAACUGAAGGUGGAGAACUCCAAAAGUGGGAAAUGUGCCAAAGUUGAUGCUUACAGGUUUAAAACUGGGAGUGCACUUCAUUUAGCAUUCCUAUUCAACUCAAAAUCAUGCAUGUACCAGCGGUCCCCGCCCUGGUCAAGGGGAGAAAAAAAAGAAAAGCAUAUUGGGAAACACACUUAACACAAUGACCUUAAAUUCUGUUGGAAUGUGCUAGUGGCACAAAAUUUCACCACCCAACUAUUAAAAGUCCAAUAACUCAAGAGUGCAUUGGUACCCACCCACUUUUCCCAGUGGAGUUAGGCCUAGACUACUCAUUUAAAGUUGAAAAAUCUUAAGUUUAUUGCAGAAUAUGCAAACAAGUAUUUGCAAUGUGUCAAAGUGUUCCCUGUAGAGUUUUUGGCACAGCUCAGAUUGGUGAAAUUUACACCAUCAUGGGUAGUGUAGUUAUCCACAAGGAACUCCACUUUGAAACAAUUCUUUAAAAAAACAGAGUUUGUAGGAGGUCUAACUUUAGGGUUACGUUAGACCCCCAUUACAUUUUUCCCCUUCCAGACCCUGAAAGGCUACUGUACAAAUAUCAAUUUCCCAGCAUGUUUUCAGGUCAAAACUGGUUGAUAAUCUACACAAGAAAAAACAAACCAGAAACAAGGGUAGGUUUCUCAAAUUUAUUGAAAACCAGGUAAAGUCUUCCAUCGCUCUCGAACCGUUAUGGGACCAAGUGAAGCCUUGCCUUCCCACUGAACACCUAGAAGGGAAAGAGAAGAAAAAAAAAGAAAAAAAAAAAAAAGAGACCCACGUUAAAGGGUUAGUUCACCCAAAAAUGAAAAUUAGCCCAUGUUUUACUCACCCUCAAGGCAUCCUAGGUGUAUAUGACUUUCUUCUUUCAGACAAAUCCAAUCGGAGUUAUAUUAAAAAUUGUCCUUUCUCUUCCAAGUUUUAUAAUGGUAUGGGCGGGUGUUUUUGUUCAACGGUCCAAAAGAAGACAAAGCGCAUCCAUCCAUAUUAAAACAUUCCUCACACGCCUCCGGGGGAGUGAACAAAGGCCUCCUGUAGUGAAUUGAUGCAUGGUGUGAACAAAGGCCUCCUGUAGUGAAUCGAUGCGUUUAAAAAAAAAAAAAAAAAAAAGCAUAUUUAAAAUGAUAUACAGUUUUUUGUAACUUCCGCUGUAAACGGUCCAUAAUGUACUUAAAGUGCUCUAUUUCGCAC